rnacentral:tRNA from 1 species
GGGGAUGUAGCCAAGUGGGAAGGCCGCGGUCUGCAAAACCGCUAUGAGUCGGUUCGAUUCCGACCAUCCCCU